rnacentral:rRNA from 1 species
UGCCAGCARCCGCGGUAAUACGUAGGGUGCAAGCGUUAAUCGGAAUUACUGGKCGUAAAGCGUGCGCAGGCGGUUAUAUAASACAGAUGUGAAAUCCCCGGGCUCAACCUGGGAACUGCAUUUGWGACUGUAUAGCUAGAGUACGGCARAGGGGGAUGGAAUUCCGCGUGUAGCAGUGAAAUGCGUARAUAUGCGGAGGAACACCGAUGGCGAAGGCAAUCCCCUGGGCCUGUACURACCGCUYAUGCACGAAAGCGUGGGGAGCAAACAGGAUUUANGAUWCCCUGGUAGGCCAAGGGCGAAUUCUGUUUAAAACCUGCAG